rnacentral:rRNA from 1 species
UGCAGUAUUUUAACUGUGCAAAGGUAGCAUAAUCAUUAGUCUUCUAAUUAAAGGCUGGAAUGAAGGGUUGAACGAGGUAUAAGCUGUCUCAUAAGAAUUAAUUUAAUUUGACUUUUUAGUGAAAAGGCUAAAAUAAGGUUAGAGGACGAGAAGACCCUAUAGAGCUUUAUAAUUAAGUUUAAUAAAAAUUUAGAAGAGGUUUAAUUGUUAGGUUAAGUUAUUUUGUUGGGGUGACAAGGAAAUAAUAAAACUUUCUUUGACGUAGGCCAUGAAUUGAUGAAUUUUAGAUCCGUUGAUAGCGAUUAAAAGACUAAGUUACCUUAGGGAUAACAGCGUAAUCUUAUUUGAGAGUUCAAAUCGACAAUAGGG